GCCAGCAUGACAUAGUGGUUUGAGCAUUGGACUAGAAAUCUGGAGACUAGGAUUCGAUCCCCUGCUUGGCC